rnacentral:rRNA from 1 species
UGGGGGAUAUUGCACAAUGGGCGAAAGCCUGAUGCAGCAACGCCGCGUGAGGGAAGACGGUUUUCGGAUUGUAAACCUCUGUCUUUGGUGAAGAAAGAAAUGACGGUAGCCGAGGAGGAAGCCACGGCUAACUACGUGCCAGCAGCCGCGGUAAUACGUAGGUGGCAAGCGUUGUCCGGAAUUACUGGGUGUAAAGGGAGCGCAGGCGGGGAGACAAGUCAGCGGUGAAAACUAUGGGCUUAACCCAUAAACUGCAGUUGAAACUGGUUUGCUUGAGUGGAGUAGAGGUAGGCGGAAUUCCGAGUGUAGCGGUGAAAUGCGUAGAUAUUCGGAGGAACACCAGUGGCGAAGGCGGCCUACUGGGCUUUAACUGACGCUGAGGCUCGAAAGUGUGGGGAGCAAACA